rnacentral:rRNA from 1 species
AUUGAACGCUGGCGGCAGGCUUAACACAUGCAAGUCGAGCGGGGACUUCGGUCCUAGCGGCGAACGGGUGAGGAAUGCUUGGGAAUCUGCCCAGUAGCGGGGGAUAACGUUUCGAAAGGAACGCUAAUACCGCAUACGCCCUACGGGGGAAAGGGGGGGAUCUUCGGACCUCUCACUAUUGGAUGAGCCCAAGUCGGAUUAGCUAGUUGGUGGGGUAAAGGCCUACCAAGGCGACGAUCCGUAGCUGGUCUGAGAGGAUGAUCAGCCACACUGGAACUGAGACACGGUCCAGACUCCUACGGGAGGCAGCAGUGGGGAAUAUUGGACAAUGGGCGAAAGCCUGAUCCAGCCAUGCCGCGUGUGUGAAGAAGGCCUUCGGGUUGUAAAGCACUUUAAGCGAGGAGGAAUGGCUCUUGGUUAAUAACCUUGAGCAGUGACGUUACUCGCAGAAUAAGCACCGGCUAACUUCGUGCCAGCAGCCGCCGUAAGAC